rnacentral:rRNA from 1 species
GGGAUAAUGAAUUACUAUGGAGUUGUUGCUGGCCUCUAGGGGCAUGUGCACGCUUCACUAGUCUUUCAACCACCUGUGAACUUUUGAUAGAUCUGUGAAGUCGUCUUUCAAGUCGUCAGACUUGGUUUGCUGGGAUUUAAACGUCUCGGUGUGACAACGCAGUCUAUUUACUUAACACACCCCAAAUGUAUGUCUACGAAUGUCAUUUAAUGGGCCUUGUGCCUAUAAACCAUAAUACAACUUUCAACAACGGAUCUCUUGGCUCUCGCAUCGAUGAAGAACGCAGCGAAAUGCGAUAAGUAAUGUGAAUUGCAGAAUUCAGUGAAUCAUCGAAUCUUUGAACGCACCUUGCGCCCCUUGGUAUUCCGAGGGGCAUGCCUGUUUGAGUGUCAUUAAAUUCUCAAACUCACUUUGGUUUUUUUCCAAUUGUGAUGUUUGGAUUGUUGGGGGCUGCUGGCCUUGACAGGUCGGCUCCUCUUAAAUGCAUUAGCAGGACUUCUCAUUGCCUCUGCGCAUGAUGUGAUAAUUAUCACUCAUCAAUAGCACGCAUGAAUAGAGUCCAGCUCUCUAAUCGUCCGCAAGGACAAUUUGACAAUUUGACCUCAAAUCAGGUAGGACUACCCGCUGAACUUAAGCAUAUAAAA